rnacentral:lncRNA from 1 species
AUGAUUCAUCAAGCCAUUCUUCUACUGUUCUUGCUGGCUUCUGCUUCUGCUUCAGCCAUGGGGCCCAAACCCUCGUGCCCCGACAUCACGUACCAGUUGGGCCCCUGCGUUUCUUACCUGCUGCAAAUUGAGGUGGCGCCGCCUCCGGCUUGCUGUGAUGGUGUCAAGUACCUCAGCCAGUAUUCAAGUGACAAGGAAGAUAGAGAGGCUAUAUGUUCGUGUAUCAAGGGCGCAGCUAGUAUGAUGGGGCUUACUGAUUUUCCUCUCAUUUCUGCUCUGCCUAAUACCUGCGGCGUUUCUGUAAAACUUCCACCUAUCUCUAGCGACAUUGAUUGUUCCCAGUAA